rnacentral:rRNA from 1 species
UGGCUCGCGUCCGAUUAGCUGGUUGGCGGGGUAACGGCCCACCAAGGCUACGAUCGGUAGGGGUUCUGAGAGGAAGGCCCCCCACAAUGGGACUGAGACACGGCCCAUACUCCUACGGGAGGCAGCAGUGAGGAAUAUUGGUCAAUGGGCGGAAGCCUGAACCAGCCAUGCCGCGUGCGGGAAGGAGGCCCUAUGGGCUGUGAACCGCUUUUGCCUGGGGGCAAUAAGGGCGUCGCGCACGUCCGAUGAGAGUACCAGGCGAAUAAGCAUCGGCUAACUCCGUGCCAGCAGCCGCGGUAAUACGGGGGAUGCGAGCGUUAUCCGGAUUCAUUGGGUUUAAAGGGUGCGUAGGCUGUGCGUCAAGUCGGGGGUGAAAUUCCGGUGCUCAACACCGGGGCUGCCCUUGAUACUGUCGCGCUGGAGUGCGGAUGCCGCCGGAGGAAUGAGUGGUGUAGCGGUGAAAUGCUUAGAUAUCACUCAGAACACCGAUUGCGAAGGCAUCUGGCGAAUCCGUAACUGACGCUGAGGCACGAAAGCGUGGGGAUAGAACAGGAUUAGAUACCCUGGUAUUCCACGCCGUAAACGAUGAUGGCUAACCGCCGGCGACACACUGUCGGUGGCCAAG